rnacentral:ncRNA from 1 species
CCAUAUAAGGGCUAGUAUUACCCCUUAUAUGUAGCAUGUAGCAUGUAGCA